rnacentral:rRNA from 1 species
GAUGAACGCUGGCGGCGUGCUUAAUACAUGCAAGUCGAACGGAGACAUUAGCAAUAAUGUUUUAGUGGCGAACGGGUGAGUAACGCGUUGGUGACCUGCCCCGAAGAGAGGGAUAACAGUUCGAAAGGAUUGCUAAUACCCCAUGUGGUUGUUUGGAUUAGAUGCCUUACAACUAAACGGAUUUAUUCGCUUCGGGAGGGGCCUGCGUCCCAUCAGCUAGUUGGUAGGGUAAUGGCCUACCAAGGCUAUGACGGGUAGGGGACCUGAGAGGGUGGCCCCCCACAAUGGAACUGAAACACGGUCCAUACACCUACGGGUGGCAGCAGUAGGGAAUAUUGGUUAAUCUGCGAAAGCGGGAACCAGCAACGCCGCGUGCACGAUGAAGGCCUUCGGGUUGUAAAGUGCUUUUUGAGAGGAUGAGGAGGGACAGUACUCUUAGAAUAAGCUUCGGCUAACUACGUGCCAGCCGCCGCAUGUAAGAC